rfam:Xenopus tropicalis strain Nigerian Chr03_contig_3086, whole genome shotgun sequence.
CCUUCGAUAGCUCAGCUGGUAGAGCGGAGGACUGUAGGUGUAAUAUGGCAAUCCUUAGGUCGCUGGUUCAAUUCCGGCUCGAAGGA